rnacentral:lncRNA from 1 species
UCUCAAUUUUUACCCAACGAUUAAGCAAAUGCACUAAGAGAUCUCUCUCUUCAAAUACGUGGCGUUGAACUUGUUUCUUCUUUUUUUCCAGAGUUAAAUGAGCCAACAAUACCUGCCGUAUGCUAUUUUUGGCCCCAAGGAAACGUUCGGACUUUCGACAACAAAGUUUUCAGUUAUAAAAGUGGUGCUCUAUUAAAACUGAUCGAGUCAAGUUCAUUUGUAGUAGAUGUUCAGGUGGACCACUCACUCUGUAUUCAAUCUGCCACGCCAACUCAGAACUGUAUUCAAGUGACAACUAUUAUUUUGGUCAACGAUAAAGAAUACGUGAUUAAACACGACGUAAACGGCACGUUCAAAGUAUACACUGCAGAGACAGAGCACCCAGUACCAUGCAAAUUCGAUGGAUUUGAAGCUAAGAAAUUAUCAGCAAAUACUUUUGUAGUCAAUGCAAAUGAAGAUACCUUAUCCAUUCAAGGAACAAAUAAAGGGAUUAUAAAAGUAACGGUUCAAAGAUUGAAUGUGAAACCGGUGAGUGGUUUAUGCGGAAAUUUGGACGGAAACCCAGAUAACGAUGUGUCUGCUGCUGAUGUCAAAUCUUUCGUCAAGAAAUGUGAGGAGGGCCGUAUUUUUUCGUUCAUAAAAAAAUGGAAAAAUAUUCUUUUCUCAGGUAAGAGGUUUUUCCAUUGUUUGGUUGAUUCUAUAAGUAAACUGAAAAGACUGAAUGGAUGAGUAAAAAUGCCAUCCAUAAAGGAAGGAACUAUCUGAGAGGUAACAUGCUCCCUGACGUAAGUAGAGAAUAGUAAAGAAAUUAACUACAUUGUGUUUGGUAUCACUAAACUAUACCAAUAUUAUGGCCGGCUGGGAUCACACUCGGAUGAGACCACUUAGAAUUAUUUAAAAACCCUGUCAGGAAAGAUUUGACUUAUUUCAGACUCGUCUUGAAGGGAAAAGAUGACUGGUUCCAGAACCGUCCAAAAAAAGGAAUAUUAAUGCUUUUUCUGAAAAUUAACGUAUUUAAUUGACAUAUCUCUUUUGUGCGUUUCUUUAUUUUUCCAAGUUAUAUUUUUACUUUAUUUUAUUUUGUAGAAGGAAAAAUCACAGCGACUGAUUUUUCCGAGGCAGCCAUUAAAGAUUCAUUCUGUUACGCUUUAAAACAAAAUCCGAAGUUCGCUGAAUGCAGAAAAGUGAGUAAUCCAUAAUUAUUUUUAAGCGUGCCUAUAGGGCUCGCUUUUUGAAAUCACUCGGAUGUACUGUAGUACAGCCACCGAUCGACAAAUGCUUUUCAAGGGGCGGUCCGAAUUUUUUUUCCGUCGGAUCCGUUCUUCCGUUUUUGAACCGUUAUAGUGUCAAGCCCUGAAGGUCAUUCAUCGAGAAACCGAAUUAUCCUGUUACUGGAAACCCUUGAGAACAUUUUCCCGUGGAAACCGUAUUAUUUUCUUUCAUAGGUACGUCAAAUAAGCUUUUCUACGCUCGGAGGAUUUAAAUUAGAAGUUUAAAUGCCGCCAUAACUAUUUAGCGAAUCAGCGUCUUUUCAAAAGCGGUUAAACCCAAGUUGGCUGCAUCUCCAUAGUUACAACUGCAGCGAAGUGAGCAAUCUCCAAUUCGACCAAUUGGAAGGCAGAGUUUUGGAGGUUAGGUUCCCUUGUUGAUUCUCUGAGUGUAAGUUGCAUUUUUUUUUUUUUUUUUUUCUUUGUCACGUUUUUUUUUUUUUUUUAUUUCCAGAAAAGAUACCUUAAAGUCUCAUUUUAAUACAAAUCAAUCGAAGAAAAGAGAAAAGACAAAGUUUGACUCAUUAAACAGAGUAAACUCCAUACUCUGCUGCUGCAAACUGAGCAAUCUCCAACAUGACGCAACAAACUGAACAAUUUCCAAACUUUAAUUUGAAAUUCUGAAUGAACCAAUUCAGUUAAAUGAUUUAUGAUGUUAUUUUCUUUGUUCAUCCAAUAUAAUUAUGUUACUUUCUUUAUUCAAUAAAAUGUAUUUUCAAUAAAAUGUAUUUACAUUCAACGGUAUCAAAUCAAUAAUUCCUCCCCAAUUUGCAGAGAGUACUAAUUUAUACACAUCUCGUUGAAAUGGAAAUAGUGCACACACUAGAUUUCAAUUAUUCGGCACGCUUUUCCAACAUAUUCAUGUUGGAUGUUUCUUCUUGUUUAAAAUUAAAUAUAUCAUUUGGUGAUCAUAGCCAUGACGACGUAGUGUAGUGUAUUGCGCCAAUAUGUAUACAUUAUAGUAUUUUAGGGCGGGAAGAAACAAAAUCAUUACAUUAUGAAAAUUUAACUGCCUGUAUCUGUAUAGAUUUAUGACCAAUUAUAUAUUUUAUUUAAGUUAUUAUUUAAAGAUCAGAUCCGCAACAAGUACUUAAACGGCUCGAAAAUAUUUGAUCAAAUGUUGACGUAAAUCGUCUAAAAAAUAAGAAAAAAUAUGGCGGGGAAAAUUUAUUGAUCAACUUCACCGAUAUCGAUGAAAAAGCUUAUGUAAGGAUGCGAGUUUGAAAAGGACUAAGAUCCUUGCCAGACCUAGGAAAGAAACAAGGAAAUAAGAAAAUUAAUAAUGGCUUUCCCACUUAUCAAAUUGGCAGGCGAUACCAACGUGGGUUAUCGAUGGUUUUAGUUUAAGCUCCUACUUUCAACAUGUAAAGUAAAUGUUAUUUCAACCUGACCCAUCUUGAAAUUGAUUCAAAUGAAUAAUAUACCCGCAACAUUUUUCGUCUUUCAGAAAAUGGGGCCCAAUGCAGUUGAAGCCUAUUUUGAGGCAUGCAUGGGUGAUUACUUGAGCUGUCCGUUGGAGAAUAAACAAGACUGUGGUUGCACUACGAUUGAGGUGCUAACCGAAAUCUGUGGGAGGAUGAAUGCUCCUGUGGAGAAAUGGAGGCAAUCGAAUUUCUGCCGUGAGUACAAAAUCUAUACUCCUCGUGAAAGUGGAUGAACGAAAAACGAAAAUAGGAAGUGGCAAUCGAAACACGUGAGGCGGUUGCCAAUCACAGUGACGUGAGAGCGAAGCGUUUUGCGCUAUUGGCAGGAGCUAAUCACCAUGCGGUGCGUCUUGCGCUGCGGCGGUAUGCGCCAUGAAGUGAGAGCAAAGCGUUUUGCGCUUUUGGUGGGAGCCAAUCACCAUUCAGUAGCAGUCGUACGUCUUGCGCUCUUCCCCCAUUGGCUGCCGCUCAUUAUUCUAUGGCCUCACCUGGCCGCCGGGGCUAUAUCACCAGCAUUUCCUGGCCUACCAAGUCCCACUGGAUGGUGAUUGGCUAUCGCUGCACACUGGAUGUCUCGAGAUCGUACUUGCCAAUUAAAGUAAGUCGUUCACGUCCAGUUGUGCAUCGAUGGGAACUUAGAAAAACACAUACCUUCCUUACCGUGUUUUAAAGCUUUCUCUUGUAGCUAUUUUCUUUUACAGUAUAUAAGAACAUAAUGUGUCAGGAAAUUUGCAUUCUCUCUCACAUUAUAAGACACAUUUGUAUGAAAUGGAUGUGAUUAUUGGCAUCAGUCGAAAUGUAUUUCAAGUUGCCUAAUUUUCUCUCAUGUUAAAGUUAUAUUUUUCUAUCAAAGAACCAAAGUACGUAACGCAUUUAACUAUUUCGUAAAUUUACCGUAGACUUUUAAGAAUAUACGCAUAUAAUUUUAAGAUUUUUGCGUUGUCUAAUUUUCAAUUUAAAGGAUACAAAAUUAAAGAAAAUUAGGCAACCUUGAUGUAGCUGGAAUGAACCCAGUUAAAUCCAUCCAUUUUUAAAAGAUAUUCUAGAAAAUGCAAAUACAAACUAAAAGAAAACCUACAACAACCUUCAGAACUUUAAAUGAGUAAGAAAAUUAUAAGAUUACGCGUUUGAUAUAUUUGAAUGGGGGUUGCAUACUCAACCUCUUAGAUAUUAAUUUGAUUAUUUUUAAAUAUUUCAUAGCCUCAUGAAAUUACAUGAAUUUAAACUAAAAUUUUUCAAUAACAUCACUGCUGUACCCCAUAUAUUACAUCGAUGAUGAAAAUCAUUAUACAUUUUGUGUAGCUUCUUUGAUGCUUGAGCGCUGAAAAAUAAGAAAAUGAUCGAUUCAGCAAGGUUAAAUCAACGAAGUAUUCCCAUUGCAAAGUUUUUGAGAAAGUACUCUUUAAUGCAUUUCGAUACUUCCCAAAUUAAAAUGUUUAGCUUUAGAAUGCGGGGAAGACUUUACAGUUCCUGUGCUCCAGCUCAUCAACCCACCUGUCGGGACGCUUUAGUUCUGCCCACCAUUCCUGAGGCGUUGGGUAAUGAGUGCCAAGAAGGAUGCAUCUGCCCUUCUGGAACUUUUCUGCAUAACGGUUCAUGCAUCGCUGCAGAUAAAUGCCCAUGUCUACGGAUGGGUAAAGAGUACAAUUCCGGCGACACAUUUACCGAAAACUGUAACACUUGGUGAGUUUAAUUUCAUGUCCCGCACCGAUUCUCAUUGUGAUUCUGAAAAACGUUAACUAAUUUGAUUAUAUUUUUUGUUUCAUUAAAAUCC